UACGGAGGGGGCUAGCGUUGUUCGGAAUUACUGGGCGUAAAGCGCACGUAGGCGGCCUUGUAAGUUAGAGGUGAAAGCCCAGGGCUCAACCCUGGAAUUGCCUUUAAGACUGCAUCGCUUGAACACGGGAGAGGUGAGUGGAAUUCCGAGUGUAGAGGUGAAAUGCGUAGAGAUCCGGAGGAACACCAGUGGCGAAGGCGACACGCUGGGCCGUACCUGACACUGAUGCGCGACAGCAUGGGGAGCAAACAGG
rnacentral:rRNA from 1 species